GAUGAACGCUGGCGGCGUGCCUAAUACAUGCAAGUCGAGCGAACGGACGAGAAGCUUUCUUCUCUGAUGUUAGCGGCGGACGGGUGAGUAACACGUGGAUAACCUACCUAUAAGACUGGGAUAACUUCGGGAAACCGGAGCUAAUACCGGAUAAUAUUUUGAACCGCAUGGUUCAAAAGUGAAAUACGUUCUUGCUGUCACUUAUAGAUGGAUCCGCGCUGCAUUAGCUAGUUGGUAAGGUAACGGCUUACCAAGGCAACGAUGCAUAGCCGACCUGAGAGGGUGAUCGGCCACACUGGAACUGAGACACGGUCCAGACUCCUACGGGAGGCAGCAGUAGGGAAUCUUCCGCAAUGGGCGAAAGCCUGACGGAGCAACGCCGCGUGAGUGAUGAAGGUCUUCGGAUCGUAAAACUCUGUUAUUAGGGAAGAACAUAUGUGUAAGUAACUGUGCAAAUCUUGACGGUACCCAAUCAGAAAGCCACGGCUAACUACGUG
rnacentral:rRNA from 1 species